UAACUCAGCCUCCCACGGGAGUCAGCUGACUCAACCUGAGUAAUGCUCGUAAUGAAUGAAAAAGCAGGAAAGGACGGGGCGAGGAAAGCUUUUGCUGUGGUUCCUAGAGCUAUAUUACGUAAACCGGGCCUGCCCCUCACAGUCACGCCUGAAAUUAGACACCGAGACACACUGGAAAAGGAAAUGGCAAACCACUUCAAUAUCUUUGGCAAGGAGACCUCAUUGACAGAAGUCCAUGGCGUUACAUAGAGUUGGACGCAUCUGAACAACAACAAAUAUAAUACUGUUGUAUGAGACCAGUGAAAGUUUCUCGUGUAAGAUGUAAGCUAUGCUCCAUAAAUGUUGUAAGGCUUCAGUAUGAGCUGGGCCUAAGUUUCACUUUCAUUUCUGGGGAAGGGGGUUGUGCACCAGCUGCCCACCCCCCUCCCUUGUUUUUUGACCACCCUCUCUGUUGUUUUGUGCUUUAACUUUACCACAUAAGGCAAUCCUCUAGCUCCCAAGCUAGUUUUGAGUAAAAUGUAUCUCUUGGGUUCUGAAUAUAGACUGCAAGGUCUCUUGCCUCAGCCAAUGAGGAUAAAGAGAUUGAGACAAACAGGUGGGGAGGGGGGCUUUUUGGCAUGCUUUGUCUAAGACUAUGUAACUGCUUGCUGUUUGUGCUUCACCUCUCUACACCAGUCUGCCCUGGGUAGGAGAUGCCCAACUCUUGUGUGAGACUUGUUAAAAUAAAACCUUCUGUUUUCUACCUGGA